rnacentral:misc_RNA from 1 species
AACGCACAUUGCGCCCGCCAGUACUCUGGCGGGCAUGCCUGUCCGAGCGUCAUUUCAACCCUCGAGCCCCUCCGGGGGGUCGGCGUUGGGGAUCGGCCCGCCCUCGCGGCUGGGCCGGCCCCGAAAUGCAGUGGCGGUCUCGCCGCAGCCUCCCCAUGCGCAGUAGCUUGCACACUCGCACCGGGAGCGCGGCGCGGCCAACGCCGUAAAACACCCCAAACCCUUCUGGAAUGUUGACCUCGGAUCAGGUAGGAAUACCCGCUGAACUUAA